GGGGAAGGGUAGCUUGCUACCUGACCUAGCGGCGGACGGGUGAGUAAUGCUUAGGAAUCUGCCUAUUAGUGGGGGACAACAUUCCGAAAGGAAUGCUAAUACCGCAUACGCCCUACGGGGGAAAGCAGGGGAUCUUCGGACCUUGCGCUAAUAGAUGAGCCUAAGUCAGUAUUAGCUAGUUGGUGGGGUAAAGGCCUACCAAGGCGACGAUCUGUAGCGGGUCUGAGAGGAUGAUCCGCCACACUGGGACUGAGACACGGCCCAGACUCCUACGGGAGGCAGCAGUGGGGAAUAUUGGACAAUGGGCGAAAGCCUGAUCCAGCCAUGCCGCGUGUGUGAAGAAGGCCUUUUGGUUGUAAAGCACUUUAAGCGAGGAGGAGGCUACUGAGAUUAAUACUCUUGGAUAGUGGACGUUACUCGCAGAAUAAGCACCGGCUUACUCUGUGCCAGCAGCCGCGGUAAUACAGAAGGGUGCGAGCGUUAAUCGGAUUUACUGGGCG
rnacentral:rRNA from 1 species